CUCAAGACUGCCAGUUCGAACGAAGAGACUUUCGGGUCUCCAGUGGCGAACGGGUGAGUAACACGUAGGGAACCUGCCCGCGCACCGGGAAUACGCUCUGGAAACGGAGAACAAAUCUCGAUGUACAGGAAGGAGGCAUCUUCUUUCUGUGAAACAUCCUUUCGGGGAUGGGGCGCGGAUGGACCUGCGGUGCAUUAGUUGGUUGGCGGGGUAAAGGCCCACCAAGACGAUGAUGCAUAGCCGGCCUGAGAGGGCGGACGGCCACAUUGGGACUGAGACACGGCCCUGACUCCUGCGGGAGGCAGCAGUAGGGAAUUUUCGUCAAUGGGCGCAAGCCUGAACGAGCGAUGCCGCGUGAGUGAAGAAGGCCUUCGGGUCGUAAAGCUCUGUUGCGGGGGAAAAAAGGCAGCAUCAGGAAAUGGGUGCUGACUGAUGGUGCCCCGCCAGAAAGUCACGGCUAACUACGUGCCAGCAGCCGCGGUAAUACGUAGGUGGCGAGCGUUAUCCGGAAUGAUUGGGCGUAAAGGGUGCGCAGGCGGUCCUGCGAGUCUGGAGUGAAACGCAUGAGCUCAACUCAUGCAUGGCUUUGGAAACUGGAGGACUGGAGAGCAGGAGAGGGCGGUGGAACUCCAUGUGUAGCGGUAAAAUGCGUAGAUAUAUGGAAGAACACCAGUGGCGAAGGCGGCCGCCUGGCCUGUUGCUGACGCUGAGGCACGAAAGCGUGGGGAGCAAAUAGGAUUAGAUACCCUA
rnacentral:rRNA from 1 species